rnacentral:rRNA from 1 species
GGAGGGAGCGAGCGUUGUUCGGAAUCACUGGGCGUAAAGGGCGCGUAGGCGGCCGAGUAAGUCGUGUGUGAAAGACCGGGGCUCAACUCCGUGUACUGCAUGCGAUACUGCCCGGCUAGAGAAAGGUAGAGGCGAGUGGAAUUCCCGGUGUAGCGGUGGAAUGCGUAGAUAUCGGGAAGAACACCUGUGGCGAAGGCGGCUCGCUGGGCCUUUUCUGACGCUGAAGUGCGAAAGCGUGGGGAGCAAACAGGAUUAGAUACCCUGGUAGUCCACGCCGUAAACGAUGGGCACUAGGCGUUGGGAGGAUUGACCCUCUCAGUGCCGUAGCUAACGCGUUAAGUGCCCCCCGCCUGGGGAUACGGCCGCAAGGCUG